UAGGUUGUUCGAGAAUUAGAUUUGACGUGGAAGUGAAAAAUUGCAUAAUUACAUGGUUUUGCUUGCAAAAAGGUCUUUCUUUGACAGAAGGAUAGUUGGGUUCCCAGGCGGCGAAUGUGGUGAAAAAGUUAUGCAGAUGAUG